CUGCCUCGCAGCUGCGCGCGACAGAGACAGCAACGCGCAUGUGGUCCGCUGUCUCGAAGUCUAAGUGUAUGACAGUCCAGAGUGUGGAGCACACUCUCUUUCCUGGCACGUGUGUCCUGCAGAAAUCUGUCAGAACGACCUGUGGAAAAUUCUGAAUGAGAUGAGCCUCCGUCUGCUGCUGUUUAUAAAGGUACUCAACAGAGUGACAAAUAGAGGCAUUUCAGAGUGCAACAGAGUGUUGCCUGCCUUUCCGGUGAGUACUGAUUCAUAAAUCUCAUUUCCAUUCUGUUUCAUAAGCACCACAAUACAGCACUAACGUCUCAUCAAACG